rnacentral:rRNA from 1 species
CGCCUCUUGCUAAUAAUAAGAGGUCUGGCCUGCCCAGUGAUAAAUUUAACGGCCGCGGUACCCUAACCGUGCGAAGGUAGCAUAAUCACUUGUUCUUUAAAUAGGGACUCGUAUCAACGGCAUCACGAGAGCUGCACUGUCUCCCUUUUCCAAUCAGUGAAACUGAUCUCCCCGUGAAAAAGCGGGGAUAUAAUUAUAAGACGAGAAGACCCCAUGGAGCUUUAAACCCUAUAGCAAUUUAGCAAAGCUAUAUAACCCUGCUAGCGGUUUUAGGUUGGGGCGACCACGGAGUAAAAAUUAACCUCCAUAACGAAAAAUUAAACCUUAACCCAAGAAUUACCAUUCUAAGUAUUAGCAAACUAACGAACCAUGACCCAUUAUUGAUCAAUGAACCAAGUUACCCUGGGGAUAACAGCGCAAUCUACUUCAAGAGUCCAUAUCGACAAGUAGGCUUACGACCUCGAUGUUGGAUCAGGGUAUCCUAGUGGUGCAGCCGCUACUGAAGGUUCGUUUGUUCAACGAUUAAAACCCU